rnacentral:rRNA from 1 species
AAACCAACAGGGAUUACCUCAGUAACGGCGAGUGAAGCGGUAACAGCUCAAAUUUGAAAUCUGGGUCUUUCAGGCUCCGAGUUGCAAUUUGUAGAAGAUGCUUCGGGUGCGGCUCCGGUCUAAGUUCCUUGGAACAGGACGUCAUAGAGGGUGAGAAUCCCGUAUGUGAUCGGUUGCUUGCGCCCAUGUGAAGCUCUUUCGACGAGUCGAGUUGUUUGGGAAUGCAGCUCAAAAUGGGUGGUAAAUUUCAUCUAAAGCUAAAUAUUGGCCAGAGACCGAUAGCGCACAAGUAGAGUGAUCGAAAGAUGAAAAGCACUUUGGAAAGAGAGUUAAACAGUACGUGAAAUUGUUGAAAGGGAAGCGCUUGCAACCAGACUUGCGCGUUGCUGAUCAUCCGGGGUUCUCCCCGGUGCACUCGGCUUCGCUCAGGCCAGCAUCGGUUUUGGUGGUGGGAUAAAGGCCUUGGGAAUGUAGCUUCUUUCGGGGAGUGUUAUAGCCCUCGGUGCAAUGCCGCCUACUGGGACCGAGGACCGCGCUUCGGCUAGGAUGCUGGCGUAAUGGUUGUAAGCGAC